rnacentral:rRNA from 1 species
UACGUAGGGUGCAAGCGUUGUCCGGAAUUAUUGGGCGUAAAGAGCUCGUAGGCGGUCUGUCACGUCGGAUGUGAAAAUCCAGGGCUUAACCCUGGACCUGCAUUCGAUACGGGCAGACUAGAGUUCGGUAGGGGAGACUGGAAUUCCUGGUGUAGCGGUGAAAUGCGUAGAUAUCUGGAGGAACACCGAUGGCGAAGGCAGCCCCCUGGGCUAACACUGACGCUCAUGCACGAAAGCGUGGGGAGCAAACAGG